AUUGAACGCUGGCGGCAGGCCUAACACAUGCGAGUCGAGCGGAUGAAGGGAGCUUGCUCCUGAAUUCAGCGGCGGACGGGUGAGUAAUGCCUAGGAAUCUGCCUGGUAGUGGGGGAUAACGUCCGGAAACGGGCGCUAAUACCGCAUACGUCCUGAGGGAGAAAGUGGGGGAUCUUCGGACCUCACGCUAUCAGAUGAGCCUAGGUCGGAUUAGCUAGUUGGUGGGGUAAAGGCCUACCAAGGCGACGAUCCGUAACUGGUCUGAGAGGAUGAUCAGUCACACUGGAACUGAGACACGGUCCAGACUCCUACGGGAGGCAGCAGUGGGGAAUAUUGGACAAUGGGCGAAAGCCUGAUCCAGCCAUGCCGCGUGUGUGAAGAAGGUCUUCGGAUUGUAAAGCACUUUAAGUUGGGAGGAAGGGCAGUAAGUUAAUACCUUGCUGUUUUGACGUUACCAACAGAAUAAGCACCGGCUAACUUCGUG
rnacentral:rRNA from 1 species